rnacentral:rRNA from 1 species
UACGGCGGGGGCGAGCGUUAUUCGGAAUUAUUGGGCGUAAAGGGCGCGUAGGCGGCUGUACAAGUCAAAGGUGAAAUCCCUCGGCUCAACUGAGGAACUGCCUUUGAAACUGUACGGCUUGAGGCCGGGAGGGGGUAGCGGAAUUCCCAGUGUAGCGGUGAAAUGCGUAGAUACUGGGAGGAACACCAGUGGCGAAGGCGGCUACCUGGACCGGUUCUGACGCUGAGGCGCGAAAGCGUGGGUAGCAAACAGG